GUCUCCUCUUCACCAUGCCAUUUCUUGAAAAAGAGGGUAAAUGUUUCUCCUUGCUGCAUUUGUUUAAGAUGAGGUGUGAAAUCAAACACGGGCAAAAAAAAAUAUUUCCCCCUCCCCCAGAUAUGUAUUGUAGUCCUUUACAUGCAAUUAAGUGGUUUUAUAUAUAGUAUCUUGUGACCAUGAACACUUGUAUGAAAUGUAUCAAGUGAAGAAUUGAACAUUAACAGGAUGGCAGAUGUGGCAAUGUUAAUUUAAAUAAAUGCCAUUCCUUAUGUUAUAAGGCUUUAUUUUAUUUAAGACUGUUCAGAUUGUAAAUUCUUCCACUGAAACUUAUAUUACCAUCCAUUAAACCGUUAGGAACAUAAUUUAGGAAAAUCAGAAACCCCUUAAGAAUAUCUCUGAAUAGGGGCAGCUAGGUGGUGCAGCGUAUAGAACAUUGGCCCUGAAGUCAGGAGGACCUCAGUUCAAAUCCAGCCUCAGACCAAACCCUUGACACUUACUAGCUGUGUGACCCCUGGGCAAGUCGCUUAACCCCAUUGCCUAAAAAGGAAAAAAAAAACUGUAAAAAAAAAAGAAUAUCGCUGAAUCGGUACAACUCGAAGUGUGCAAAAUUAUUAGCAGCUUUUUUCCUCUUUGAUUUUUCUCUGUCCAUCAAAAAUGUUUUGUUCAACAAAACAAAAUUUUGUUUUCUGAGAUGUCAUAGAUUAAGAAAAAUCUUUAGUAAGAUAUGUAAAUAACAAUAUUAGGCUAAAAAAUCUAAUUGGAAAAGGUCUGAUCAUGGUAGAUUAAAAUGUGUUUAAUAUGAAAUAUUCGUGUAUUAUAGAAAACAGUGAACCUAUGUUGAUGAAAAAUGAAACACGCCUGCAAAUCUUAAAGAACAAGGAGCAGAGAAAGAGACUUGUUCAUGAAAUUUGUACUUUUUUAGAUAGCAGCCAGUCUGUCCAAGAAAUUGAUGCUUUAAGGACAGAAAACAGGAAAUUAAAAAAUGCGAACUCAAGGCUUCGAUAUAAGACAAAGGAUUGGGCAUUAAAGAAAGAAGAAUAUGAAAAUGAGAUUGAGAGGCUGUCUAGUGAGAUAUCAAAUUAUUUAAAUGCCACCAAUUUUUGGUAUCAAGACACAGAGCUUCUUAAUGAUGAGCAUAAUAAUAUACCAAGGGAACAGGCAAACAAUGUAAGCACUCAGACAGAGGGCGCCCUUGGACCAGUAAAAAGGUACCAAACUAUAAUAAUGCCUGUCUUUUACAUAUGCUACUGA
rnacentral:lncRNA from 1 species